CCUUUAGGACUCUUCCAUUUCCCCUUCUUUCUAAGUCUUUUUCUUGGUCGUGCUUGAAGUCUUCUUUUCUUUUCAUUUUUUCUAUUCUAAUUUUAAUUUUUUCCUUAGCUGUUUAUCUUAAACAUCUGUACUUUGUUUCCUUGCUGGACCUAUGGGAACUGUUAGGUGCGGGCCUAACGCAGUGAUGGAGCGCCGGGUGGCGGUGUGGACAGCCCGGGGAGUACCCAGGAGGAUUGGGUGUGCUGAGCCUUGCAAAGGGCUGAGUUGUUGUUGUUUCUUUGCUUGGUUCUGACCUGUUUGUUUUCGGUUCAGUGUUGAGCAGAAGAGUUUGGACACCAGCAUUUCUUCCAAGCGAUGUGAUGACUCUGCUGAGGCUCUUGGUGGACACAGCAGGAACCCACAGUCAAAGCUGGAAACCAACAUCCACAAGUGAUCUUGUCGGGCAAGAUCUAUUGCUCCCAGAGAGUGUUUUUGAUCUUCUGGUUCUGAUUGGUGUCAGUUUGUACUCAUGCUCACUGGGCUUUCUAAGGGUGUUCCCCUUCCUUGACACCACAUUUCCCAUCCUCCAUUUCCAAGCAGGAGCUCCCCUUGGCCUUCGUGUCUCGCUCUGGCCAGGCAGAUGUGGUGUGCCAACGGAUCAAAGCCUUCAGAAUCCAACCAAAGUAAAUGAGGAGAGAGGCUGCCCUGGGUGAGACAGGAGAAGUGCCCCUUGAAGCGGGGGACGCCCCACUGGUGCUGCCUCUCACAUCCACCGGCAGCGCGUUCCUUCUCUCUCCUUGCCGCCCGGCGCUUUGCCGUCUCCCAGGGCUCGCCAAGUCCAAAUGUUCCCUGAUGGAGUCCAACUCCGGCUUGGCCAACACUCACCCGGUCUGUCCCCACACCAGCUGGCUUAGGGCUCCCCAGUUCUGAUGGGAUCUCAGUGCCUUCUGUCGCUCCCAAUCAGCUUGCCUCUGCUCUUUGCUUUUUGGCUUCCAGAGUGUUUGGUACAGUUAUGGAGUGUUUCUCUUCUCUCUUUCCUUGUCCUCCAUGUUGCCCGUUGGCGCCUCGGUCGAUUUCCAGUGACCCAACCGCAGACUGCUGUGUGUUGACCAAGGGUGAUGCCAGAAGAAGAGGUGGGCUCCAAAAGAGGCUGCUGGAUAGGAGACUCUGCUGUCAGAUGUCGUUGCCUGUCCAUCCCUCCCGAGCUUGCAGAGUUGGAUGUUACCUCAGCAUUGGAUAAGGGGUAAGUGAUUCCUGCAUCCUUACCAGAAGGUAAUCUCUACUCGUCUUGUGCUGUGUGGAACAGGUUGCAGUGGAGAAGUGCAGUUGUCCGGGGCGCUGUAAGGACUCUGCUGAGGCUCUUGGUGGACACAGCAGGAACCCACAGCCAGAGAUGGAUGCCAAGAUCCACUCCUUCCUAUGUCUGGCAAGCUCUGUUGUCUCCUGAGGUUGUUCCCACGCUUGCAGAGGCUGCCAAUUGAUCCCUCUUUGGUCUUCAAUAAACCAAAUUCAGUCUGGUAAGAUUUGACCAAGUGAGAUGGAAAAUGACAUGGUAGACUCCAAAAUAGCCUUGAGUAUUGGAGACUUAUCCACCACAUGGUGAUGCCUUUCCUGACCUCCUUGAUUGCAGUGUGGGAUGUGCCCUGAUCCUUGGAAAGGGGUGAGUGAUUCCUGCAUCCUUACCUGAAGGUGAUCUCUGCUUGUCUUGUCUUGAGUCCAGCAGGUGGAAGUGGAAUGUUGUGACCCUGCUGAGGAGUGCAAGGACUGUAUUGAGGCUCUUGGUGGACACAGCAGGAACCCACACCCAUAGAUGGAUGCCAAGAUCUGCUCCUUCCUGUGUCUGGCAAACUCUGUCGACCCUGAGAUGAUUCCCACGCUUGCAGAGGGCCUAUGGGCUUGGUGUCUGUUGUCCCUUGUGCUCACUGGGCUUUCCAAGGGCGUUCCCCUUCCUUGACACCACCUUUCCCACCCUCCAUUUCCAAGCAGGAGCUCCACUUGGCCUCCGCGUCUCGCUCUGGCCAGGCAGAUGUGGUGUGCCAACGGAUCAAAGCCUUCAUUAUCCAACCAAAGGAAAUGAGGAGAGAGGCUGCCCUGGGUGAGACAGGAGAAGUGCCCCUUGAAGCGGGGGACGCCCCACUGGUGCUGCCUCUCACAUCCACCGGCAGCGCGUUCCUUCUCUCUCCUUGCCGCCCGGCGCUUUGCCGUCUCCCAGGGCUCGCCAAGUCCAAAUGUCCCCUGAUGGAGUCCAACUCCAGCUUGACCAGCUCUCACCUGGUCUGUCCCCGCACCAGCUGGCUUAGGGCUCCCCAGUACUGAUGGGACCUCAGUGCCUUCUGUCACUCCCGAUCAGCUUGCCUCUGCUCUUUGAUUUUUGGCUUCCCGAGCAUUUGCUACAGUUAUGGAGUGUUUCUCUUCUCUCUUUCCUUGUCCUCCAUGUUGCCCGUUGGCGCCUCGGUCGAUUUCCAGUGACCCAACCGCAGACUGCUGUGUGUUGACCAAGGGUGAUGCCAGAAGAAGAGGUGGGCUCCAAAAGAGGCUGCUGGAUUGGAGUCUCCACCGCCACAUGGUUCUGUCAUUCCUGAUAUCCCCACUUUGCAGCGUUGGACCUCCCUGGACACUUGGAAAGGGGUGAGUGAUUCAUUCAUCCUUACCAGAAGGUGAUCUCUGCUGGUCUUGUCUUGUUUCCAACAGGUGGCAGUGGAGAUUUACAUCCCUCCCGAGCGGUGCAAGGACUCUGCUGAGGCUCUUGGUGGACACAGCAGGAACCCACAGCCAGAGAUGGACGCCAGGAUCCACUCUUUCCUGUGUCUGGCAAGCUCUGUUGUAUACUGCGGUCGUUCCCACGCUUGCAGUGGUCCUAUGGGCUUGGUGUCGGUUGUCCCUUGUGCUCACCAUGCUGUCACCGGGUGUUCUUCCUUUGCCCAUCUGUAGGGCUCCCCAGUUCUGGUGGGAUCUCAGUGUCUUCUGUUGAUCCCAGGGUACUUUGAUUUGUUCUUUUCUUUUCAGGUUCUGUACCAUUUUAUGCUUUUAUGCUGUGUUUUUCUUCCUUCCUUUUGUUUUACAGGCUGAAAAUGGACGCCUGAUGGUAUCUAUGAUGCCCCAAAUGCAGUCUCGUAAGGCUUGGCCAAGUGUGGUGGGAAAGGAAGAGGAUUGGGGACGCCAGCUCUAGAUGCCAAUGCACACUGUGACAUCCCUGGGUGGCAGCGUUGGAAGUGCCUGGACCCUUGGAAAGGGCUAAGUGAUUGAUUUGUUGUUAUUUGAAUGUAGUUUGUGUUCAACAGGUGAUGGUGGGGAACUGUGGCCUUUUGAUCAGCGCAAAGAGUGUAUUGUGACUCUAGGUGGGCAAAACAGGAAUGCAGAGCCAUAAGUCGAUGCCAUGAUGCCCUCCUUUCUCUGUUUGGCAAGCUCUGUUGACCUUGAGGUGGCUCCCACGCUUGCAGAGGGCCUUUGGGCUUGGUGUCCGUUGUCCCUUGUGCUCACUGGGCUUUCCAAGGGUGUUCCUCUUACUUGACACCACCUUUCCCACUCUCUAUUUCCAAGCAGGAGCUCCCCUUGGCCUCCGCGUCUCGCUCUGGCCAGGCAGAUGUGGUGUGCCAACGGAUCAAAGCCUUCAGAAUCCAACCAAAGGAAAUGAGGAGAGAGGCUGCCCUGGGUGAGACAGGAGAAGUGCCCCUUGAAGCGGGGGACGCCCCGCUCGCGCUGCCUCUCACAUCCACCGGCAGCGCGUUCCUUCUCUCUCCUUGCCGCCCGGCGCUUUGCCGUCUCCCAGGGCUCGCCAAGUCCAAAUGUUCCCUGAUGGAGUCCAACUCCGGCUUGGCCAACACUCACCCGGUCUGUCCCCACACCAGCUGGCUUAGGGCUCCCCAGUUCUGAUGGGACCUCAGUGCCUUCUGUCGCUCCCAGUCAGCAUGGCUUUGCUCUUUGCUUUUUGGCUUCCAGAGCGUUUGGUACAGUUAUGGAGUGUUUCUCUUCUCUCUCUCCUUGUCUUCCAUGUUGCCCAUUGGCGCCUCGGUCGAUUUCCAGUGACCCAACCGCAGACUGCUGUGCGUUGACCAAGGGUGAUGCCAAGAGAAGAGGUGGGCUCCAAAAGAGGCUGCUGGAUAGGAGACUCUGCUGUCAGAUGUCGUUGCCUGUCCAUCCCUCCCGAGCUUGCAGAGUUGGAUGUUACCUCAGCAUUGGAUAAGGGGUAAGUGAUUCCUGCAUCCUUACCAGAAGGUAAUCUCUACUCGUCUUGUGCUGUGUGGAACAGGUUGCAGUGGAGAAGUGCAGUUGUCCGGGGCGCUGUAAGGACUCUGCUGAGGCUCUUGGUGGACACAGCAGGAACCCACAGCCAGAGAUGGAUGCCAAGAUCCACUCCUUCCUAUGUCUGGCAAGCUCUGUUGUCUCCUGAGGUUGUUCCCACGCUUGCAGAGGCUGCCAAUUGAUCCCUCUUUGGUCUUCAAUAAACCAAAUUCAGUCUGGUAAGAUUUGACCAAGUGAGAUGGAAAAUGACAUGGUAGACUCCAAAAUAGCCUUGAGUAUUGGAGACUUAUCCACCACAUGGUGAUGCCUUUCCUGACCUCCUUGAUUGCAGUGUGGGAUGUGCCCUGAUCCUUGGAAAGGGGUGAGUGAUUCCUGCAUCCUUACCUGAAGGUGAUCUCUGCUUGUCUUGUCUUGAGUCCAGCAGGUGGAAGUGGAAUGUUGUGACCCUGCUGAGGAGUGCAAGGACUGUAUUGAGGCUCUUGGUGGACACAGCAGGAACCCACACCCAUAGAUGGAUGCCAAGAUCUGCUCCUUCCUGUGUCUGGCAAACUCUGUCGACCCUGAGAUGAUUCCCACGCUUGCAGAGGGCCUAUGGGCUUGGUGUCUGUUGUCCCUUGUGCUCACUGGGCUUUCCAAGGGCGUUCCCCUUCCUUGACACCACCUUUCCCACCCUCCAUUUCCAAGCAGGAGCUCCACUUGGCCUCCGCGUCUCGCUCUGGCCAGGCAGAUGUGGUGUGCCAACGGAUCAAAGCCUUCAUUAUCCAACCAAAGGAAAUGAGGAGAGAGGCUGCCCUGGGUGAGACAGGAGAAGUGCCCCUUGAAGCGGGGGACGCCCCACUGGUGCUGCCUCUCACAUCCACCGGCAGCGCGUUCCUUCUCUCUCCUUGCCGCCCGGCGCUUUGCCGUCUCCCAGGGCUCGCCAAGUCCAAAUGUCCCCUGAUGGAGUCCAACUCCAGCUUGACCAGCUCUCACCUGGUCUGUCCCCGCACCAGCUGGCUUAGGGCUCCCCAGUACUGAUGGGACCUCAGUGCCUUCUGUCACUCCCGAUCAGCUUGCCUCUGCUCUUUGAUUUUUGGCUUCCCGAGCAUUUGCUACAGUUAUGGAGUGUUUCUCUUCUCUCUUUCCUUGUCCUCCAUGUUGCCCGUUGGCGCCUCGGUCGAUUUCCAGUGACCCAACCGCAGACUGCUGUGUGUUGACCAAGGGUGAUGCCAGAAGAAGAGGUGGGCUCCAAAAGAGGCUGCUGGAUUGGAGUCUCCACCGCCACAUGGUUCUGUCAUUCCUGAUAUCCCCACUUUGCAGCGUUGGACCUCCCUGGACACUUGGAAAGGGGUGAGUGAUUCAUUCAUCCUUACCAGAAGGUGAUCUCUGCUGGUCUUGUCUUGUUUCCAACAGGUGGCAGUGGAGAUUUACAUCCCUCCCGAGCGGUGCAAGGACUCUGCUGAGGCUCUUGGUGGACACAGCAGGAACCCACAGCCAGAGAUGGACGCCAGGAUCCACUCUUUCCUGUGUCUGGCAAGCUCUGUUGUAUACUGCGGUCGUUCCCACGCUUGCAGUGGUCCUAUGGGCUUGGUGUCGGUUGUCCCUUGUGCUCACCAUGCUGUCACCGGGUGUUCUUCCUUUGCCCAUCUGUAGGGCUCCCCAGUUCUGGUGGGAUCUCAGUGUCUUCUGUUGAUCCCAGGGUACUUUGAUUUGUUCUUUUCUUUUCAGGUUCUGUACCAUUUUAUGCUUUUAUGCUGUGUUUUUCUUCCUUCCUUUUGUUUUACAGGCUGAAAAUGGACGCCUGAUGGUAUCUAUGAUGCCCCAAAUGCAGUCUCGUAAGGCUUGGCCAAGUGUGGUGGGAAAGGAAGAGGAUUGGGGACGCCAGCUCUAGAUGCCAAUGCACACUGUGACAUCCCUGGGUGGCAGCGUUGGAAGUGCCUGGACCCUUGGAAAGGGCUAAGUGAUUGAUUUGUUGUUAUUUGAAUGUAGUUUGUGUUCAACAGGUGAUGGUGGGGAACUGUGGCCUUUUGAUCAGCGCAAAGAGUGUAUUGUGACUCUAGGUGGGCAAAACAGGAAUGCAGAGCCAUAAGUCGAUGCCAUGAUGCCCUCCUUUCUCUGUUUGGCAAGCUCUGUUGACCUUGAGGUGGCUCCCACGCUUGCAGAGGGCCUAUGGGCUUGGUGUCCGUUGUCCCUUGUGCUCACUGGGCUUUCCAAGGGUGUUCCUCUUACUUGACACCACCUUUCCCACUCUCUAUUUCCAAGCAGGAGCUCCCCUUGGCCUCCGCGUCUCGCUCUGGCCAGGCAGAUGUGGUGUGCCAACGGAUCAAAGCCUUCAGAAUCCAACCAAAGGAAAUGAGGAGAGAGGCUGCCCUGGGUGAGACAGGAGAAGUGCCCCUUGAAGCGGGGGACGCCCCGCUCGCGCUGCCUCUCACAUCCACCGGCAGCGCGUUCCUUCUCUCUCCUUGCCGCCCGGCGCUUUGCCGUCUCCCAGGGCUCGCCAAGUCCAAAUGUUCCCUGAUGGAGUCCAACUCCGGCUUGGCCAACACUCACCCGGUCUGUCCCCACACCAGCUGGCUUAGGGCUCCCCAGUUCUGAUGGGACCUCAGUGCCUUCUGUCGCUCCCAGUCAGCAUGGCUUUGCUCUUUGCUUUUUGGCUUCCAGAGCGUUUGGUACAGUUAUGGAGUGUUUCUCUUCUCUCUCUCCUUGUCUUCCAUGUUGCCCAUUGGCGCCUCGGUCGAUUUCCAGUGACCCAACCGCAGACUGCUGUGCGUUGACCAAGGGUGAUGCCAAGAGAAGAGGUGGGCUCCAAAAGAGGCUGCUGGAUAGGAGACUCUGCUGUCAGAUGUCGUUGCCUGUCCAUCCCUCCCGAGCUUGCAGAGUUGGAUGUUACCUCAGCAUUGGAUAAGGGGUAAGUGAUUCCUGCAUCCUUACCAGAAGGUAAUCUCUACUCGUCUUGUGCUGUGUGGAACAGGUUGCAGUGGAGAAGUGCAGUUGUCCGGGGCGCUGUAAGGACUCUGCUGAGGCUCUUGGUGGACACAGCAGGAACCCACAGCCAGAGAUGGAUGCCAAGAUCCACUCCUUCCUAUGUCUGGCAAGCUCUGUUGUCUCCUGAGGUUGUUCCCACGCUUGCAGAGGCUGCCAAUUGAUCCCUCUUUGGUCUUCAAUAAACCAAAUUCAGUCUGGUAAGAUUUGACCAAGUGAGAUGGAAAAUGACAUGGUAGACUCCAAAAUAGCCUUGAGUAUUGGAGACUUAUCCACCACAUGGUGAUGCCUUUCCUGACCUCCUUGAUUGCAGUGUGGGAUGUGCCCUGAUCCUUGGAAAGGGGUGAGUGAUUCCUGCAUCCUUACCUGAAGGUGAUCUCUGCUUGUCUUGUCUUGAGUCCAGCAGGUGGAAGUGGAAUGUUGUGACCCUGCUGAGGAGUGCAAGGACUGUAUUGAGGCUCUUGGUGGACACAGCAGGAACCCACACCCAUAGAUGGAUGCCAAGAUCUGCUCCUUCCUGUGUCUGGCAAACUCUGUCGACCCUGAGAUGAUUCCCACGCUUGCAGAGGGCCUAUGGGCUUGGUGUCUGUUGUCCCUUGUGCUCACUGGGCUUUCCAAGGGCGUUCCCCUUCCUUGACACCACCUUUCCCACCCUCCAUUUCCAAGCAGGAGCUCCACUUGGCCUCCGCGUCUCGCUCUGGCCAGGCAGAUGUGGUGUGCCAACGGAUCAAAGCCUUCAUUAUCCAACCAAAGGAAAUGAGGAGAGAGGCUGCCCUGGGUGAGACAGGAGAAGUGCCCCUUGAAGCGGGGGACGCCCCACUGGUGCUGCCUCUCACAUCCACCGGCAGCGCGUUCCUUCUCUCUCCUUGCCGCCCGGCGCUUUGCCGUCUCCCAGGGCUCGCCAAGUCCAAAUGUCCCCUGAUGGAGUCCAACUCCAGCUUGACCAGCUCUCACCUGGUCUGUCCCCGCACCAGCUGGCUUAGGGCUCCCCAGUACUGAUGGGACCUCAGUGCCUUCUGUCACUCCCGAUCAGCUUGCCUCUGCUCUUUGAUUUUUGGCUUCCCGAGCAUUUGCUACAGUUAUGGAGUGUUUCUCUUCUCUCUUUCCUUGUCCUCCAUGUUGCCCGUUGGCGCCUCGGUCGAUUUCCAGUGACCCAACCGCAGACUGCUGUGUGUUGACCAAGGGUGAUGCCAGAAGAAGAGGUGGGCUCCAAAAGAGGCUGCUGGAUUGGAGUCUCCACCGCCACAUGGUUCUGUCAUUCCUGAUAUCCCCACUUUGCAGCGUUGGACCUCCCUGGACACUUGGAAAGGGGUGAGUGAUUCAUUCAUCCUUACCAGAAGGUGAUCUCUGCUGGUCUUGUCUUGUUUCCAACAGGUGGCAGUGGAGAUUUACAUCCCUCCCGAGCGGUGCAAGGACUCUGCUGAGGCUCUUGGUGGACACAGCAGGAACCCACAGCCAGAGAUGGACGCCAGGAUCCACUCUUUCCUGUGUCUGGCAAGCUCUGUUGUAUACUGCGGUCGUUCCCACGCUUGCAGUGGUCCUAUGGGCUUGGUGUCGGUUGUCCCUUGUGCUCACCAUGCUGUCACCGGGUGUUCUUCCUUUGCCCAUCUGUAGGGCUCCCCAGUUCUGGUGGGAUCUCAGUGUCUUCUGUUGAUCCCAGGGUACUUUGAUUUGUUCUUUUCUUUUCAGGUUCUGUACCAUUUUAUGCUUUUAUGCUGUGUUUUUCUUCCUUCCUUUUGUUUUACAGGCUGAAAAUGGACGCCUGAUGGUAUCUAUGAUGCCCCAAAUGCAGUCUCGUAAGGCUUGGCCAAGUGUGGUGGGAAAGGAAGAGGAUUGGGGACGCCAGCUCUAGAUGCCAAUGCACACUGUGACAUCCCUGGGUGGCAGCGUUGGAAGUGCCUGGACCCUUGGAAAGGGCUAAGUGAUUGAUUUGUUGUUAUUUGAAUGUAGUUUGUGUUCAACAGGUGAUGGUGGGGAACUGUGGCCUUUUGAUCAGCGCAAAGAGUGUAUUGUGACUCUAGGUGGGCAAAACAGGAAUGCAGAGCCAUAAGUCGAUGCCAUGAUGCCCUCCUUUCUCUGUUUGGCAAGCUCUGUUGACCUUGAGGUGGCUCCCACGCUUGCAGAGGGCCUAUGGGCUUGGUGUCCGUUGUCCCUUGUGCUCACUGGGCUUUCCAAGGGUGUUCCUCUUACUUGACACCACCUUUCCCACUCUCUAUUUCCAAGCAGGAGCUCCCCUUGGCCUCCGCGUCUCGCUCUGGCCAGGCAGAUGUGGUGUGCCAACGGAUCAAAGCCUUCAGAAUCCAACCAAAGGAAAUGAGGAGAGAGGCUGCCCUGGGUGAGACAGGAGAAGUGCCCCUUGAAGCGGGGGACGCCCCGCUCGCGCUGCCUCUCACAUCCACCGGCAGCGCGUUCCUUCUCUCUCCUUGCCGCCCGGCGCUUUGCCGUCUCCCAGGGCUCGCCAAGUCCAAAUGUUCCCUGAUGGAGUCCAACUCCGGCUUGGCCAACACUCACCCGGUCUGUCCCCACACCAGCUGGCUUAGGGCUCCCCAGUUCUGAUGGGACCUCAGUGCCUUCUGUCGCUCCCAGUCAGCAUGGCUUUGCUCUUUGCUUUUUGGCUUCCAGAGCGUUUGGUACAGUUAUGGAGUGUUUCUCUUCUCUCUCUCCUUGUCUUCCAUGUUGCCCAUUGGCGCCUCGGUCGAUUUCCAGUGACCCAACCGCAGACUGCUGUGCGUUGACCAAGGGUGAUGCCAAGAGAAGAGGUGGGCUCCAAAAGAGGCUGCUGGAUAGGAGACUCUGCUGUCAGAUGUCGUUGCCUGUCCAUCCCUCCCGAGCUUGCAGAGUUGGAUGUUACCUCAGCAUUGGAUAAGGGGUAAGUGAUUCCUGCAUCCUUACCAGAAGGUAAUCUCUACUCGUCUUGUGCUGUGUGGAACAGGUUGCAGUGGAGAAGUGCAGUUGUCCGGGGCGCUGUAAGGACUCUGCUGAGGCUCUUGGUGGACACAGCAGGAACCCACAGCCAGAGAUGGAUGCCAAGAUCCACUCCUUCCUAUGUCUGGCAAGCUCUGUUGUCUCCUGAGGUUGUUCCCACGCUUGCAGAGGCUGCCAAUUGAUCCCUCUUUGGUCUUCAAUAAACCAAAUUCAGUCUGGUAAGAUUUGACCAAGUGAGAUGGAAAAUGACAUGGUAGACUCCAAAAUAGCCUUGAGUAUUGGAGACUUAUCCACCACAUGGUGAUGCCUUUCCUGACCUCCUUGAUUGCAGUGUGGGAUGUGCCCUGAUCCUUGGAAAGGGGUGAGUGAUUCCUGCAUCCUUACCUGAAGGUGAUCUCUGCUUGUCUUGUCUUGAGUCCAGCAGGUGGAAGUGGAAUGUUGUGACCCUGCUGAGGAGUGCAAGGACUGUAUUGAGGCUCUUGGUGGACACAGCAGGAACCCACACCCAUAGAUGGAUGCCAAGAUCUGCUCCUUCCUGUGUCUGGCAAACUCUGUCGACCCUGAGAUGAUUCCCACGCUUGCAGAGGGCCUAUGGGCUUGGUGUCUGUUGUCCCUUGUGCUCACUGGGCUUUCCAAGGGCGUUCCCCUUCCUUGACACCACCUUUCCCACCCUCCAUUUCCAAGCAGGAGCUCCACUUGGCCUCCGCGUCUCGCUCUGGCCAGGCAGAUGUGGUGUGCCAACGGAUCAGAGCCUUCAGAAUCCAACCAAAGGAAAUGAGGAGAGAGGCUGCCCUGGGUGAGACAGGAGAAGUACCCCUUGAAGCGGGGGACGCCCCACUGGUGCUGCCUCUCACAUCCACCGGCAGCGCGUUCCUUCUCUCUCCUUGCCGCCCGGCACUUUGCCGUCUCCCAGGGCUCGCCAAGUCCAAAUGUUCCCUGAUGGAGUCCAACUCCAGCUUCACCAGCACUCACUCGGUCUGUCCCCACACCAGCUGGCUUAGAGCUCCCCGGUACUGAUGGACGUCAGUGCCUUCUGUUGCUCCCUGUCAACAUGGUUGUGUUCUUUCUCUUCAGGUUCAGUAAUUAGUCUUCUUUUUAUGCAGUGUUACUCUUCUCUGUUUUCCUGUGUUUCAUGUUGCCUGUCAACGCCUCUUUGGAGAUGCACUGAGUGAAAUGUAAACUGAUAUUCUUUGAGCAAGUGUGAUGGAAAAUGAAGAUGUAGGCUCCACUACAGCUAUCGUGAUUGGAGACUCCACUACCGGAUUCGAUGGGGCUUGCAACUCUUCCUGUGUUUGUGCAUUGGUUAUCCACUGUCCUCGUCGAAGCGGGAAGGGCCAUUUUGACUAUUUGUCACCGCCCACCUGGCAAUCUGAAUUUAGGAGCUGCUUUCACGGAUGCGUCGCUGCAGAGCAAAGAAGGCCUGAAAACUUCAGCGGACCUCUACCCCUAAGAGAGCUCUGAAACUUAUGUUAAGAAAAGAAAUUGCUUAAUAUUUUUCUGUCUUCUACAGUUCUAACUGUGGCUUUAGCUUGGCCAGAAAAUAGGUAUGUAAAGCUAAUUGAAAAUCUUGCUGAAGGUUUUAGUGUUUCAGACUUGGGUUUGUGUGGCUCUCCCGAGAAGUGUAGGAAGUGUGCCAAUUUACGCAGCUGUUGCACUAAAUUGGACAACACUGGAUUAUGUAACAAAGCAGAUGGAAGACGAUGGUGGAAAUUGUAGAUGUGUGCAUGAAAAUCAGGGUAAGGUUGUUUAGCUGACUUUUGUCAUUAUUAUUAAUACCUGGAUCGUUUUUAUAGACAGGAAUUACGACAGUGCAAACCAUAUAAACUUUGGGUGCAGAAACUUGUCAGGCGUAGGGUGUUGUUGGGAAUAUGGCAAUUUUGGGAUGCUUACGAGAUAUAACGAGACGGCUCGAUGGCAGCAAGGCAGGUACCGUGAUCCUAGGGCCACUAGCAAUACUGUGCGGUCUGGAGAUAAAGAUAUCUUAGCUAUAGCGGGCACGGGGACUGCAUCAAUGGAACAUAGGCAGAAACGCUGUCAGCUCCCCUCUGGGUAUCGGUGGAUGUGUGGAAGUAGAUACGUGUGUAAAAUUCUCCCAUUGAAUUGGAUUGGGACACGCACAGCAGGUUAUCUGAUGCCUCACACAAGUAUCUACACUCGCAUAGAGUCACCACGAGGAUUUUUAAGAGCUAUGCAGCUAUACACUAAGAGAGGGAAUACUCCAGUAGUUGAAAGGACUAUGGGAUUCCAUAGUUCUGUUUGAUGGGUACUUUCAGCUGUCAGAGUCACUGAACUGGAACAAGCAGUUGUGAAGGUAUCAGUCACUAUGGAAAGAGUUGAGAACCAAAGUUUAGAAGCCAUCCACGGUCUUCAGACAGAUCUCACGCUGUAGUAAGUCAGUCUUGCAGAAUAGAAUGGCCCUCGACCUUCUUCCCGCACAGGCAUGAGGCGUCAGUAUGAUUAUUAACUGAAGUCACUGCGCUUACGUGGACAGAAAUGUACACAUAGAGAGUGAUUUAUAGGCAAUUAGGAGAGGCGUUUAAGAGCCACACCAAGUCUCCUUACGUGACCCUUCUGCUGGAAUGGUGGAUAUGUGGAAUAAGCUUUGUAACCGCUUCCUAACUUGGUGUGGCUAAAGUGACCAGUUGCAGUUGUACUGACGAUCCUCGCUGUGAUAACCUGCUUAGGCGCGAGGUGUUCUUUCUGUUGCUAUUGAACAAUGCUAGAUGAGCGCUCCACCUAGAAGAGGUACCGUGUGAAAUGUCAGGUAGAAACGGGGAAAUAGUUCUGGAACACAUUACUUGACAGUUGGGCACUGAAAGCAAAAGCCUUUGCAUAACAUACAGAUAAGGGUGGAUUGUAUCAAGGAAAGUAUAAAUCUGGACCUCAUAGCAUGUGCCAACUUGGGAAGGAACACAGAAUGCGGUGGAACGUGGUCCACGAGAACUAGGAAGAUAAGGACACAAAGCUGACGACAGGAUGGAAGGUCCACUGAAGGUCAGCGGAGUUGCACUUUGUAAGUGAAUAUGCAGCAUAAGGAGGAUAAGGAGGCAGAGCUGCCAUUGCUGAGCCUAAGGAAGCGAAGUUGCCGUUGCGACACAAUGCAAGCCCACCCUUCCGAAGCUGGAAGCUCUCAGCGAGGUAUGCUGAUCACCUUCAUCCAACGCUGACCAGGGCACCGCGCCGCUUCUUUAGGACCAUGGCAGUAGGGUGGGGCAAUGUAUUAAUAAUGUCUUGGAAUGCCACCCAUGUUUCUUGCAAUGUAAUUAACGUUUGUAUGUUAUGUUUUAAAAGAUGUACCCAUUGUUAUCCUGGCUGCGUGAGUUAGGAGAUUUCUCCUUGCAUCUUAUGUUGUAAUAAAAAUCACUGCUGAGUGUGUGUCAAUGUUAGGAUUUUGGUAUGAACGCAUGGCUUAUGCCUGGCAUUCUCCUAUUGAGCGUUUGUGAAUGAAGAAAGCUUCUAUAGAGGGUGAUUUAGGAAGACACCUGGAUGACGUUGAAGGCUGCCAGAUAGACCGUCACGAUGCUCAAAGAACGGUACGGAGUAGAAGCGAGCCUGGAAUAGAAGACUGGAAAUGUUAUGUAUCUGUCUCAGAGAGCAUAGGAGGGACACGGGGGUCUGUCUGUGUUUAUCAUCUUGUGUGUUACUGCUGAGCGUGCAGUAUCUGCGGAACUAGCGUGGAGUCUGAAUUGUGUCAUCUUCGAAGCUGUUACGCUGGAAAUAUCCUCUGUGCUUUCUGGUAUUGCUAAUAAAGACUUCCUGCCUUAAUGCUAA